ACUCCUACGGGAGGCAGCAGUGGGGAAUAUUGGACAAUGGGGGCAACCCUGAUCCAGCCAUGCCGCGUGUGUGAAGAAGGCCUUUGGUUGUAAAGCACUUUAAAGCAGGGGAGGAGAGGCUAAUGGUUAAUACCCAUUAGAUUAGACGUUACCUGCAGAAUAAGCACCGGCUAACUCUGUGCCAGCAGCCGCGGUAAUACAGAGGGUGCGAGCGUUAAUCGGAAUUACUGGGCGUAAAGCGAGUGUAGGUGGCUCAUUAAGUCACAUGUGAAACUCCCCGGGGUCUUAAACCUGGGAACUGCAUGUGAUACUGGUGGUGCUAGAAUAUGUGAGAGGGAAGUAGAAUUCCAGGUGUAGCGGUGAAAUGCGUAGAGAUCUGGAGGAAUACCGAUGGCGAAGGCAGCUUCCGUGGCAUAAAUAUUGACACUGAGAUUCGAAAGCGUGGGUAGCAAACAGGAUUAGAUACCCC
rnacentral:rRNA from 1 species